UACGGAGGGUGCAAGCGUUGUUCGGAAUUACUGGGCGUAAAGCGCGUGUAGGCGGCCUUCUAAGUCUGGUGUGAAAGCCCGGGGCUCAACCCCGGAAGUGCAUUGGAUACUGGGAGGCUGGAGUACCGGAGAGGAGGGUGGAAUUCCUGGUGUAGCGGUGAAAUGCGUAGAUAUCAGGAGGAACACCGGUGGCGAAGGCGGCCCUCUGGACGGAUACUGACGCUGAGACGCGAAAGCGUGGGGAGCAAACAGG
rnacentral:rRNA from 1 species